UUUAUUCCCAUACAUUCAAACAGCUCCAACCAAUGAAAUAAUGCCCAGUAUACUGCUUUUCAACUGAUGGGCUCUAAUUAUUACAACACCAAAUUCUGCACAUCCAUGCAAAAUAAGGCUUGGCUCUCUAAAGGUUUCAUUUUGUAUGUCCUACAACCUGGGAAGGAACUUUCUGAUCUUCCCCUGAAGAAGCUGUGAGACCCGCAUUCAGGAGGUUCCCUCCCCGAUACCCAGAGGAAAGGAAUGUUCUUAUCUCCGAAGACACAAAGACACUGGGAAUAAUCUCACAGAGAGGCCUUGCUAAGUCACCAUGAGCCUGUCCCAUGUGAUCAUUCCCGCUUUGGCCAAUCACACUUCAGCAUGACUAUCUACUUCGUCCCCAU
rnacentral:lncRNA from 1 species